rnacentral:siRNA from 1 species
ACUCCUUCCUACGGAUCCGCUUGG